UUGAAGCUUAAAUCGCGUGAAGAAUUAUUUGAAUGAAAACUCAGAACAUGCGUUUCAUUCUCUUCUUUCUCAGCCAAAAGGCGUUACUGGAAACGGAGGCUUCGCCGCGCCGGAGGCGGGGGAGCGGGUCACACGUCAAAUUUCAACCACCAAACGCUCGUCCCUGUGUCCUCUCUCUAAACCCUCCCUUCAUUUCUAUCAAUUUUCAACCAUUAAUUUGAAUGGAAGGAAAUAUAUUAAGAACCCUAGAAUGUAAAAACUAAAUUAAAUUGUCACCAUGGCUCAAAUCGAUCCACAACCUUGGGGUUAAGGUUUAUCUACAUCAAUUCUAUCAUUUGGUAACCAGCAAUAGGAUCAAAUAGGGGAGUUCGAAAGACGUGCACCAACCUUCGGAGCGGUGAAUUAUUUCGGUCAAUAUUGAGAGCCUUAAAGAUGAUAGGAAAUUCAGAGGAUCAGCUAAAAUCUCGAACUCUUCGAUGCUUGAUUCUGUUCUUCUUUUUCUUCUUCUUUGCUUUAGCCGGUAGGAUGUGCCGUUGCUGUGAUGUUACAUUGUUCUUGAUGCUUGUGUGAGAUUGACGAAUGAAAUAUGUAGAGGCUGAUUGAGAGAGUGUGAGGAUAAGGUCUAACUCGAGCAUAAUUAGAGCUUCAAUGUGAAGCUCCAAUGGCUUCCCAAUAGAGCUCUGUGUGAGGUUUUCGAGAGAGAGCGAGAAUGAGGGAGAUGAAGAAAUUCCGAGGGUAAAUGCAGAAAAAUGGUGAGAGAAAACUAGCUCCUCAAUGAUUAUGUGCUCAUUGGAUUUAUAGGGAUUGAAGUUGACAGAUCCCAAACUAUGUUAAUUCUCCCUUGUGUAAAACGGUUAUAGGUUAGUAACACUGUUAGAAUUAGUUAGACUCAGUUAGGGUUAGGAGCGCAAUUGCCUUGAUAAGUUAGUUAAGGUUGGUUGUGAUGUACUUCUGUUAAGUGAAGUUAGUGAGUUAGUUAUGGUUCAUGAACUGUUAGCAUUUCCAUUAGCUUAUCGUGGAAUCCCGUUUUGUGUUGUUGAAUGAAUUACAAGGUCCUAUUAGCUACUCUGUUACUGUUAGUUAUGAGUUUUAUGAGCCACCCGGUAAUGUAAUAAUAGAGCUUGUUGUGACUGCACUUGGAAUUGUUAUGCAGGUGGAGACUUGGUUUGAAAUGCCUUCAUUCAUUGGUUCGACAGGGAGUAUGGAGCAAAGGUCAUAAUGCAUUGGCUUGAUGGUUGAUGACAUAAGUCCAAUGGAAGCAUGAAAGGUGGAACAUGGUGGAUCAUGAGGGAAAGAGUUGCCAUGAUUUUCAUUUCAUGUUGAAAUCAAGCCAAAAUAUCAGGCAUUAGGAUAUGUGGCAUGUUAUGUAACAUGCGAAUAUAAUAUUGUGAAUGUUGUAUAACACCUACUUAUAUUUUUAAUGGAAAUGCUUUAUGUGAUAACUCUAA